rnacentral:tRNA from 1 species
GCGGACGUGGCGGAACUGGCAGACGCGCCGGGUUUAGGUCCCGGUGCCCUAUAGGGCUUGGGGGUUCGAGUCCCCCCGUCCGCA